rnacentral:misc_RNA from 1 species
CUCAAUAAGCGUCGCUCUGAGGCGCGUUUAAUCGGUGUCAACGAAGGACAGGCGAACGAUAAACAGUCUUGCGGUGGUUAUAUCGAUGACGUCGCUUCUAGAAACUCCUCCGAGUGCAUUUACUUCUCUGUUAACUACACGAUCCUCUACCAGAAACGUUUCUCCUCGAGCGUUCCUCUUCCUCGACGAAUUUAUCAAAUUUAUCGGCGAAUCUCGAAAGAAUCGAACCUUUCGGUGACCUCUUCCGGUAUCUUGCCCUUCUAUCCGAACUCUGAACUCUGUUCGUGGAUCGUUCGUGAACUAUAGCAAGGUUCGAAGGAUCGGAGGCUGGAUCACGAGACGAAUCGCGUUAUCGAUCCCUCGGAAUCGACAAUGGCGACGAGGAGGGAUCGGUUGCAGAGCGGAGGAAGCGAAUCGAGGGAUUUUCGCGAGACCCCAGACACGGCGGACAAAGAGGUUCUCGAGCGUGCAGCCCGGCUGCCGGUCGCGAAUGGACUGGUUGCACGUUUGUUAAACACUAUAGUCGCGGCUGUACCGCGCGGACUCUAGCUGCACAGGCGCCUAUAGUCCCGGCUGGUUACGCCGACUGGAUCGUCCUGUGUUCUCUCGGCGACUUUUCGAGCACGCCGUGGCUGUCUCUCCGCGGCGUGGCCACGUGUGCUUCAACAGUGUGCAAGGGGACUCUGCACUCGCAUCGAGAGUGCGCACACCGGGGCUGGGAGAACUGGCUGCCGGCACGUAGGCACCGGGAAACGCGGGACGCCUACUUGCAGGGUACUGGGUGGGGGUGAUAAUUUCGUGAGGCACCCGGUCGACCAACCGAAGAACGGUCCUUCUUCGACGGCAUCGAGAUAUGUGUGGGGCCACGUCCGUAGGGUUUUCGUUGUAGGGAAGAUUGCGAUCG